rnacentral:ncRNA from 1 species
GCUUUCUCUUCUUUGAAGAAUAUCUCUCUGGCAAAACAGAUAAUUUAUUUUUCAGUGUCACUCAGAAUAAAAAAAAAAAUCCCGCUUAAAAUAAAAAAGGACACGCUUUUUUAACUGACGAGCGCAAUAAAUCCAUUGCAGACGACUUUAAUUGAACGGGAUAUUGUAAGGAGUAGAGUAGCCUUGCUGCUACGAUUUGCUGAGAUUAAGCCCAUUGCUCUAUAGAUUU